GCAUGGUUUGUUGGGAAAGCUUUCGCGGUAUGGGAUGGGGUCGCGUCCUAUCAGCUUGACGGCGGGGUAACGGCCCACCGUGGCUUCGACGGGUAGCCGGCCUGAGAGGGCGACCGGCCACAUUGGGACUGAGAUACGGCCCAGACUCCUACGGGAGGCAGCAGUGGGGAAUAUUGCACAAUGGGCGCAAGCCUGAUGCAGCGACGCCGCGUGAGGGAUGGAGGCCUUCGGGUUGUAAACCUCUUUUAUCGGGGAGCAAGCGAGAGUGAGUUUACCCGUUGAAUAAGCACCGGCUAACUACGUGCCAGCAGCCGCGGUAAUACGUAGGGUGCAAGCGUUAUCCGGAAUUAUUGGGCGUAAAGGGCUCGUAGGCGGUUCGUCGCGUCCGGUGUGAAAGUCCAUCGCUUAACGGUGGAUCCGCGCCGGGUACGGGCGGGCUUGAGUGCGGUAGGGGAGACUGGAAUUCCCGGUGUAACGGUGGAAUGUGUAGAUAUCGG
rnacentral:rRNA from 1 species